rfam:Strigamia maritima strain Brora ctg7180001233788, whole genome shotgun sequence.
GUCGUGAUGGCCGAGUGGUUAAGGCGUCUGACUCGAAAUCAGAUGGGAUCUUCCCGCACAGGUUCGAAUCCUGUUCACGACG